rnacentral:rRNA from 1 species
UACGUAGGGGGCUAGCGUUGUCCGGAAUCAUUGGGCGUAAAGCGCGUGUAGGCGGCCCGGUAAGUCCGCUGUGAAAGUCGGGGGCUCAACCCUCGGAUGCCGGUGGAUACUGUCGGGCUCGAGUACGGAAGAGGCGAGUGGAAUUCCUGGUGUAGCGGUGAAAUGCGCAGAUAUCAGGAGGAACACCGGUGGCGAAGGCGGUCUGCUGGGCAGUUGCUGACACUGAGGCGCGACAGCGUGGGGAGCAAACAGG